GGGGGGUGGAGAUGGGACCAGUGGGGUGCAGAGGAAGCAGCAUCUUUCCAUUUAUGCAGACACCAUUCAAAGCUUUCUUUUUUGAAUUUAUUUUCUUGAGCUGGAAAUGAAAUUUGUUGAGUGUGGUUUCUGUGGUCUGUCUUUCUUUCUUGACUUAAAACCCAAACCAAAAGGUAAAGGUGAUUCCUAUGUGAACUUUUCAAACCAAGGGGGUCCUUUCUUUUUCUCUCUUUUUCCCCCCUCUUGAAGCAAGUGCUUCUCUUCCUCAUCAAUGAUACAGGUAACUGUUAAUUAACCUCUUCUCUCUAUUGAAUCUAAGUGUUGAAGAGGCAUGGUAUGUAUUAUCAUUUUCA
rnacentral:misc_RNA from 1 species